UACGUAGGGAGCAAGCGUUUGUCCGGAAUCAUUGGCGUAAAGCGCGCGUAGGUGGCUCUAUAAGUCCGUUGUGAAAGUCAAAGGCUCAACCUUUGAAAGCCGAUGGAUACUGUAGAGCUAGAGUCCGGAAGAGGCGAGUGGAAUUCCUGGUGUAGCGGUGAAAUGCGCAGAUAUCAGGAAGAACACCCGUGGCUAAGGCGGCUCUCUAGUACGGUACUGACGCUGAGACGCGAAAGCGUGGGGAGCGAACAGG
rnacentral:rRNA from 1 species